ACCUAACUGACGAGUGCCAAAUGGCACGAAACCUAGGUCUAGGGU
rfam:Schistosoma mattheei strain Denwood, Zambia genome assembly, scaffold: SMTD_scaffold0018130